rfam:TPA: Bos taurus chromosome X, whole genome shotgun sequence.
UCCCUGGUGGCUCAGAGGGUAAAGCGUCUGCCUGCAAUGCAGGAGACCUGGGUUCGAUCCCUGGGUCGGGAA